CCUACGGGAGGCAGCAGUGGGGGAUAUUGCACAAUGGGGGAAACCCUGAUGCAGCGACGCCGCGUGGGCGAAGAAGUAUUUCGGUAUGUAAAGCCCUAUCAGCAGGGAAGAAGAAAUGACGGUACCUGAGUAAGAAGCACCGGCUAAAUACGUGCCAGCAGCCGCGGUAAUACGUAUGGUGCAAGCGUUAUCCGGAUUUACUGGGUGUAAAGGGAGCGUAGACGGCAGUGCAAGUCUGGAGUGAAAGGCGGGGGCUCAACCCCCGGACUGCUCUGGAAACUGUACGGCUGGAGUGCAGGAGAGGUAAGUGGAAUUCCUAGUGUAGCGGUGAAAUGCGUAGAUAUUAGGAGGAACACCAGUGGCGAAGGCGGCUUACUGGACUGUAACUGACGUUGAGGCUCGAAAGCGUGGGGAGCAAACAGGAUUAGAUACCCUGGUAGUC
rnacentral:rRNA from 1 species